AGUGUCAGAGCCUUUACGUGGACCUUCUCAUGAAAAAGGAAACAGAAUAGUCAAUGGAAAAGGAAAAGGGCCUCCUGCAAAACAUCCUUCCUUGAAGCCUAGCACUGAAGUGGAAGAUCCUGCUGUGAAAGGAGCAGUACAAAGAAAGUAUGUACAGACAUUGAGAGCAGUGUUUAUUUUUGCAAUAUUAAUGGGAACCACUUAGCAUUUGCCUUGUGGUGUCUCCUCAGCUGUAUUCACAUAUUCCAUCACCUUUUCUUAAUGGAUAAUCAUGCACUA
rnacentral:lncRNA from 1 species